CCUACGGGACGCAGCAGUGAGGAAUAUUGGUCAAUGGCCGGAAGGCUGAACCAGCCAAGCCGCGUGAAGGACGAAGGUGCCAAGCAUUGUAAACUUCUUUUGUCAAGGGACAAAAUCAGGCUCGAGAGCCUGACCGAGGGUACUUGAAGAAAAAGCAUCGGCUAACUCCGUGCCAGCAGCCGCGGUAAUACGGAGGAUGCGAGCGUUAUCCGGAUUCACUGGGCGUAAAGGGAGCGCAGGCGGCAUGGCAAGUCUGAUGUGAAAACCCGGGGCCCAACCCCGGGAGUGCAUUGGAAACUGCCAGG
rnacentral:rRNA from 1 species